rnacentral:rRNA from 1 species
CCUACGGGAGGCAGCAGUGAGGAAUAUUGGUCAAUGGACGCAAGUCUGAACCAGCCAUGCCGCGUGCAGGAAGACGGCUCUAUGAGUUGUAAACUACUUUUGUACGAGGGUAAAUCCCGAUACGUGUAUCGGGUUUAAAGUAUCGUACGAAUAAGGAUCGGCUAACUCCGUGCCAGCAGCCGCGGUAAUACGGAGGAUUCAAGCGUUAUCCGGAUUUAUUGGGUUUAAAGGGUGCGUAGGCGGUUCGAUAAGUUAGAGGUGAAAUCCCGGGGCUCAACUCCGGCACUGCCUCUGAUACUGUCUGGCUAGAGUUUAGUUGCGGUAGGCGGAAUGUAUGGUGUAGCGGUGAAAUGCAUAGAGAUCAUACAGAACACCGAUUGCGAAGGCAGCUUACCAAACUACGACUGACGUUGAGGCACGAAAGCGUGGGAAGCAAACAGGAUUAGAUACCCUUGUAGUC